rnacentral:rRNA from 1 species
GACAGAGGGUGCAAACGUUGUUCGGAAUUACUGGGCGUAAAGCGCGUGUAGGCGGCCCUGCAAGUCGGAUGUGAAAUCCCACGGCUCAACCGUGGAAGUGCAUUCGAAACUGCAGGGCUAGAGUCCUGGAGAGGAAGGUGGAAUGCUUGGUGUAGAGGUGAAAUUCGUAGAUAUCAAGCGGAACACCGGUGGCGAAGGCGGCCUUCUGGACAGUGACGUGACGCUGAGACGGCGAAAGC